GUUCUUUAGACAUUAAAAGCUUCUAACAUGAUACGGAAUAUGAGGUUCCUGUAUCACAUUAGAAGCUUUUUUGUU
rfam:Staphylococcus aureus subsp. aureus NCTC 8325, complete genome.